rnacentral:rRNA from 1 species
UAAAGUAUUUAGAUAGAAAAGAUUAAAAAUUUUAUAGGGAAGUAGUAUUGUAAAAGAAUUAUUAAAUAAUUAUGAAAAAAAAAAUUAGUUAAAAGUAAUUUUAGUUUAGUGUAUCUUGUGUAUCAGAGUUUAUUAAAAAAUAUUUUUUAAAUAAAAAUUCUCGAAUUUAAGAGAGAUAAUUAAUUAUUAAAGUUAUUGUAGCAAAAAUAUUUUAAAUAAUUAAUUUGAAAUGAAAUGUUAAAUCGUUCUUAAAGAUAUCUAGUUUUUUUAGAAAAAAAUUUAAUUUUAAAUUUAUAUGUUAUUUUAUUUAUUAAUUAAUUAAUAAAUAAUUAUUUUAAAUUUUAUAUAUUAAGGGAUAAUCUUUAAUUUAAAUAAAUAUAAUAAAAAAAAAAUAGAUUGAAAAUUUUAUAAUUUAUAUUGUUAAUAAAAUUUAAUUUAUUAUAAAUAAUUUCAUUAAAUUAUAAAAUUUAAAUGUUAAAUUUAUUUUUAUAUAAAAAAAUAAUUUAAAAUAAAAUAAAAUUAGUUAUAAUGAUAAAAUUAGUAUAUAAUUUAAUUUUAAUGAGAUUUAUUAUUUAAAUUAAUUAAAAGGAAUUCGGCAAAAAUUUAUAUUCACUUGUUUAACAAAAACAUGUCUUUUUGAAAAUAAUUUAAAGUCUAGCCUGCCCACUGAUUUUAAAAUUGAAGGGCUGCAGUAUUUUGACUGUACAAAGGUAGCAUAAUCAUUAGUCAUUUAAUUGAUGACUUGUAUGAAAGGUUGGAUGAGAUAUAGACUGUCUUUUAUUUAGAUUAUAAAAUUUAAUUUUUCAAUUAAAAAGUUGAAAUAUAUUAAAAAGACGAGAAGACCCUAUAGAGUUUUAUAUUUAAUAUUAUUAAUUUUAUUUAUAAAAUUAAUAAAUUUAAAUAUAUUAAAUAUUUCAUUGGGGUGAUGGAAAAAUAAAAUUAACUUUUUUUUUUAUUAAACACGGAUAAGUGAUUAAAUGAUCCAGUUUUAUUGAUUAUAAGAAAAAAUUACCUUAGGGAUAACAGCGUAAUUUUUUUUUUUAGUUCAAAUAAGAAAAAGAGUUUGCGACCUCGAUGUUGGAUUAAGAUAAAAUUUAAAUGUAGAAGUUUAAAAUUUUGAUCUGUUCGAUCAUUAAAAUCUUACAUGAUCUGAGUUCAAACCGGUGUAAGCCAGGUUGGUUUCUAUCUUUUAAUAGGAAAAAUAUUUUAGUACGAAAGGAUCAAAUAUUUAAAUUAAAUUUUUUUUUUGGAAUUUUAUUAAAUAAGUAUAAAAUAA